UCCGUAGGUGGAUAAUUAAGUCAGAGGUGAAAUCCUGCAGCUCAACUGUAGAAUUGCCUUUGAUACUGGUUAUCUUGAGUUAUUAUGAAGUAGUUAGAAUAUGUAGUGUAGCGGUGAAAUGCAUAGAUAUUACAUAGAAUACCAAUUGCGAAGGCAGAUUACUAAUAAUAUACUGACACUGAUGGACGAAAGCGUGGGGAGCAAACAGGAUUAGAUACCCUGGUAGUCC
rnacentral:rRNA from 1 species